GCCACCCAGUAGUUAGGUGUGAAUUUUCGAGACCUUUGGCACCGUUCUAAGAUGGGUCCUCUCUUCGUAGGCUAAUGCAUUGGCCCUUUUUGACCCGUUUUGGGCGAAAACAAAAACUGACUCCCGGGCAUAUUUUUUUCGGCCUUUAUGGGCAGAGAACUUUAAUACCGCUCGAAAUGAGGCCACCCAGUAGUUAGGUGUGAAUUUUCGAGACCUUUGGCACCGUUCUAAGAUGGGUCCUCUCUUCGUAGGCUAAUGCAUUGGCCCUUUUUGACCCGUUUUGGGGCGAAAACAAAAACUGACUCCCGGGCAUAUUUUUUUCGGCCUUUAUGGGCAGAGAACUUUAAUACCGCUCGAAAUGAGGCCACCCAGUAGUUAGGUGUGAAUUUUCGAGACCUUUGGCACCGUUCUAAGAUGGGUCCUCUCUUCGUAGGCUAAUGCAUUGGCCCUUUUUGACCCGUUUUGGGGCGAAAACAAAAACUGACUCCCGGGCAUAUUUUUUUUCGGCCUUUAUGGGCAGAGAACUUUAAUACCGCUCGAAAUGAGGCCACCCAGUAGUUAGGUGUGAAUUUUCGAGACCUUUGGCACCGUUCUAAGAUGGGUCCUCUCUUCGUAGGCUAAU
rnacentral:lncRNA from 1 species